AUUGAACGCUGGCGGAAUGCUUUACACAUGCAAGUCGAGCGGCAGCGCGGGGCAACCUGGCGGCGAGCGGCGAACGGGUGAGUAAUGCAUCGGAACAUGUCCAUGUCGUGGGGGAUAGCCCGGCGAAAGCCGGAUUAAUACCGCAUACGUCCGAGAGGAGAAAGUGGGGGACCCGAAAGGGCCUCACGCGAUUGGGUUGGCCGAUGUCCGAUUAGCUAGUUGGUGAGGAAAGGCUCACCAAGGCGAUGAUCGGUAGCUGGUCUGAGAGGAUGAUCAGCCACACUGGGACUGAGACACGGCCCAGACUCCUACGGGAGGCAGCAGUGGGGAAUUUUGGACAAUGGGGCAACCCUGAUCCAGCCAUUCCGCGUGAGUGAAGAAGGCC
rnacentral:rRNA from 1 species